GGAAAGGUGAUCGAGUGGUUUAAGGUGCCAGUCUUGAAAACUGAAGUACCGGUAUGUAAAAAUACCGUGGGUUCGCAUCCCACUAUCCU
rnacentral:tRNA from 1 species